GCAAGUCGAACGAGGAUAUAUCCUUCGGGAUAUAAGUCGAGUGGCGCAUGGGUGAGUAAUGCAUAGAUUACCUACCUCUGGAAUAAGGGCAACUUUGUGAAAACGGAGCUAAUACUUAAUAAUACAAAAGAAAAUAAUUUUCUUUUGUCAAAGGGAGGGUAGCAAUAUCUUUUGUCCAGAGAGGGGUUUAUGUCCUAUCAGCUUGUUGGUGGGGUAAUGGCCUACCAAGGCAAAGACGGGUAGCCGGCCUUAGAGGGUGGUCGGCCACACUGGGACUGAGACACUGCCCAGACUUCUACGGAAGGCUGCAGUCGAGAAUCUUUCGCAAUGCCCGAAAGGGUGACGAUGCGACGCCGCGUGGGUGAGGAAGGCCUUCGGGUUGUAAAACCCUGUCAGGAGUUAAGAAAUGUAAGUGCGCUAAUACCGCAUUUAUUUGACGAAGGCUCCAAAGGAAGCCACGGCUAACUCUGUGCCAGCAGCCGCGGUAAUACAGAGGUGGCAAGCGUUGUUCGGAAUUAUUGGGCGUAAAGAGCACGUAGGUGGGUUUGUAAGUCAGAUGUGAAAGCCUUCUGUUCAACGGAAGAAUUGCAUCUGAAACUGCGAAUCUUGAGUGUAGGAGGGGAGAAUGGAACUUCUGGUGGAGCGGUGAAAUGCGUAGAUAUCAGAAGAACACCAGUGGCGAAGGCGGCUCACUGGCUCGAUACUG
rnacentral:rRNA from 1 species